GCAUUAAUGGGGUAGUGGUAACCUGGGUCGUUGCCAUGUUGGGUCAAAAGAACUCGACCCGCCGGGGGUUCGAUUCCCCCUUAAUGCA